rnacentral:rRNA from 1 species
AGCGAACGCUGGCGGCAGGCCUAACACAUGCAAGUCGAACGAAGCCUCCGGGCUUAGUGGCGGACGGGUCAGCAACCGGUUGGAACGUACCUUGUGGUUCGGCACCACUCAGGGAAACAUGCGCAAAUACCGGAUGAGCCUUCAGGGGGAAAGAUGUGUAGCCGAAAGAGCGGCCCGCGUUAGGUUAGCGAGUUGGUGAGGUAAAGGCGCACCAAGGCAACGAUCUAUAGCUGGUCUGAGAGGAUGAGCAGCCACACUGGGACUGAGACACGGCCCAGAACCGUACGGAAGGCAGGAGUGGGUAAUCUUGCGGAAUGGGCGAAAACCUGACGCAGCCAUGCCGGGUGAAUGGUGAAGGUCUUAGGAUUGUAAAAUUCUUUUACCUGGGGCGAUAAUGACGGUACCUGGAGAAAAAGCCCCGGCUAACUUCGUGCCAGCCGCCGCCGUAACAC